rnacentral:rRNA from 1 species
GACGAACGCUGGCGGCGUGCCUAAUACAUGCAAGUGGGACGCAAGGAAACACACUGUGCUUGCACACCGUGUUUUCUUGAGUCGCGAACGGGUGAGUAACGCGUAGGUAACCUGCCUAUUAGCGGGGGAUAACUAUUGGAAACGAUAGCUAAUACCGCAUAAUAUUAAUUAUUGCAUGAUAAUUGAUUGAAAGAUGCAAGCGCAUCACUAGUAGAUGGACCUGCGUUGUAUUAGCUAGUUGGUAAGGUAAGAGCUUACCAAGGCGACGAUACAUAGCCGACCUGAGAGGGUGAUCGGCCACACUGGGACUGAGACACGGCCCAGACUACUACGGGAGGCAGCAGUAGGGAAUCUUCGGCAAGAGACGAAAGUCUGACCGAGCAACGCCGCGUGAGUGAAGAAGGUUUUCGGAUCGUAAAGCUCUGUUGUAAGUCAAGAACGUGUGUGAGAGUGGAAAGUUCACAAAGUGACGGUAGCUUACCAGAAAGGGACGGCUAACUACGUG